rnacentral:rRNA from 1 species
UACGGGGGGGGCAAGCGUUGUUCGGAAUUACUGGGCGUAAAGGGCUCGUAGGCGGCUAACUAAGUCCGACGUGAAAUCCCAAGGCUUAACCUUGGAACUGCGUCGGAUACUGGAUGGCUUGAAUUCGGGAGAGGGAUGCAGAAUUCCAGGUGUAGAGGUGAAAUUCGUAGAUAUCGGGAGGAACACCAGUGGCGAAGGCGGCGACCUGGGCCAAUACUGACGCUGAGGUGCGAAAGCGUGGGGAGCAAACAGG